UAAUACGUAGGCAGCGAGCGUUGUUCGGAGUUACUGGGCGUAAAGCGUGCGUAGGCGGUCUCACAAGUCUGUUGUGAAAUCUCCCGGCUCAACUGGGAGGGUGCGGUGGAAACUGUGAGGCUGGAGUAUGGGAGAGGUAGGCGGAAUUCCUGGUGUAGCGGUGAAAUGCGUAGAUAUCAGGAGGAACACCUGUGGUGUAGACGGCUUACUGGACCAUGACUGACGCUGAGGCACGAAAGCGUGGGGAGCAAACAGGAUUAGAUACCCUGGUAGUCCACGCCCUAAACGAUGCAUACUUGGUGUGGGUAAUUCAUUUUAUCCGUGCCGGAGCUAACGCGUUAAGUAUGCCGCCUGGGGAGUACGGUCGCAAGGCUG
rnacentral:rRNA from 1 species